GUCUCCUCAACAUCUCCUGCCAGCAGGCCUCCAAUCCAACAUGUAUCAGCUGUGUGUGGAGGAUUUAAAUGGUGAGGCUGUCACGUUUUUAUAGGCGCACCUUGUCUCAACAGUGUACUGUAACCCACCAGAUGAGGCAGCAGGUGUGGGAGAGAUCUGACGAGGUGUGUGUGGGCCCGUAGCGUGACACAGAGCGUGAGAUGAGGACCAUUAUUCCUGUGUGUGGAGGCGGUGAUGGAGGGGAGUCCCGCGGCCUCCGCAGCAGGGUGGGCAGGAUGAAGAAGCUGCUUUGGCUCCGGCCGAGUCAAUGCGUGGACGUCCACAUGGACACGGAGCCCGGCGUGUGGCUGACCAGCUUCCAGUCAUUGGACACUGAUGGGAUGUGUGAGGACCCAGUGCAGGAGUGGGGGGAGGAGGAGGAGGACGGGGCUGUGUUUGGCAUCACUCUGCGCAGGGAGCCCGUCCUGCCAAGCUCGGACAUGGCAGAGCUCCCUACAUCCUUCAGCUUUGUCCAGUAUCACACGGUGAAGGUGCGCAGGCUGAAGGCUGCCACACUGGAGCGCCUGGUCACCCACCUGCUGGACACUGAGCACCAGGAGCCCGAUUUCCUCCGUGUCUUCCUCGCCACUUACAGGGCUUUCACCUCCACCAGCACCCUCAUUGAGCUGCUGUUUCAGAGAGAUGACUCAAUCGCCAACCUGGAUAAAACCGUCUGCCCACGCAGCACCUUACCCCCGGUGAUCCGGCUGUGGCUGGAGGAAUACAGUGAAGACUUCCAUGAGCCUCCUCAGUACCAGGCCCUCCGCUUGUUGUGUGUCCAUCUGCGGCAUCGCCUUUGCUUCAGACGCUUGGCUCAGACUGCUGAGACCCUCCUCAAGAAGCUCCAGGAACAAGAUUGCAGCCAGGCUGCUUCAGAGCACAGCAGUGAAUCAUUGCAGCAGGAGCACAAAGAUCAGGUGGAUGGAAGAGACGUGUCCACAAAGGAGGAAGACACAAACAACUUCAUGGACUUCCCUGAGAGAGAAGUUGCGGAGCAGCUGACCCGACUGGACGCUGAGCUGUUUGUCAAAGUGGAGCCCUUCCACUGCCUGGGCUGCGUCUGGUCCCAGCGUGACAAGAAGGAAAACAGACACCUGGCGCCAUCCGUCCGUGCCACCAUCUCCCAGUUCAACGCUGUCACCAACCGUGUCAUCACCUCACUCCUCUGCCCGUUCUCUCCCAGCCCUUCCACUUCCUCUCCCAUCUCAUCACCCAACUCCCCAUCUACCUUCCUGUACCCUUCCACUGCCCCGAGCUCACCUCGCUGCACGCACGCCAGCCCUGCACACAGGGCACGCAUCAUCGAGAGGUGGAUCGCUAUUGCUCAGGAGUGCAGACAGUUGAAAAACUUCUCCUCUCUGAGGGCGAUUCUAUCGGCACUGCAGUCCAACGCUGUGUAUCGCCUCAAGAAGACCUGGGCUGCUGUCAGCAGGGAAAGCAUGGCCUCCUUUAACCACUUGUGUGAGACUUUCCCCGAUGAGAACUGUGUGCUGACCAGCAGAGAGAUCCUGAUGGAGGACGGGACUCCCCCAGAUGGCAGCGCCACCCCUGGCUCAGUGUCCAAACACAUUAGCUUCAGCAGUGGCGUUGUGCCGUACCUCGGCACUUACCUGACCGUCCUCACCAUGUUGGACACGGCACUGACUGACACUGUGGAGGGUGGACUCAUCAACUUUGAGAAGCGCAGACGAGAGUUUGAGAUUCUCUCUCAGAUUCGGCAGCUUCAGGCUUCCUGCUCCCACUACAGCCUCCCAGUAAACCCUCAUAUCACCACCUGGCUGCAGGCACACACACUGCUCACAGACCAGGAGAGCUAUGAGCUGUCUCGUGAGCUGGAGCCUCCAGUUGACCCCUGUCCCAGUUCUCCCAACUCAUGGAGCAGUCGUCUGCUCACCAAGAAACUUGCCUCGUUGCGAACAGCCAGUGAAAGCUCCCUGAGGAAGACACAUGCCGACCAGAUCAGUGUUUCGUCUUCUGGCUCCAGCAGCUCAGAGAUGGAGGAGCUCUCUGCCCCUCAGCAUUCCCCCCAUAGACUCAAACUCAAGUCUCUCUCAGGCUCUCUCCACAAUGUUGCCCAGGAUUUCUCCUCCAGCUCCAUUUCCUCCUCCUCUCCCAGUCUGUCCACCUCCUCCUCACAACCAGACCUGAGCUCUCCUUCUCUGAUUAUGAGUCCCGAGCAGUCAUCGUCCAGCUGCUCUCCUCAGGCUGUGCUGCCUGUGUACAACAAACAGGUUGCUGACUCAUGUAUCAUCAGGGUCAGCGUGGAGUCUGUCAGCAAUGGAAACGUCUACAAGAGCAUACUGCUGACCAGUCAGGACCACACACCUCAGGUGAUUCAGAGAGCUCUGGAGAAACACAACAUGGAGGACAUCAGCUGCCACAACUUUAACCUCUGCCAGAUGCUCAACAAUGGAAAAGGUCAUCCAGUUUAAAAUUGCCUGUGUAGACAGCAGUCAUGGUGAGUUGAGUUGUCCUCAGCUGCUCUUUGCAGAUACUGUUGGCCUCACUGUGUAAAAACAAAAGAAGCUCAACACGGUUUCACUGCAGCGUGUUCGUCUUCCCGGAGGGUGUGUACAUGUUGGUGCAAGCGCGUGUGUGAGGGCGAGAGCGAGCUCUGUAAUGUGAUGACGAUCUCCAUCAUCUGACAUAAUCAGGAUGAUUCAGCCUUCAGACGUCAGAGCC